AUUGAACGCUGGCGGCAUGCUUUACAUAUGCAAGUCGAACGGCAGCGCGGGCUUCGGCCUGGCGGCGCGUGGCGAACGGGUGAGUAAUACAUCGGAACGUGCCAGUAGUGGGGGAUAGCUCGGCGAAAGCCGGAUUAAUACCGCAUACGACCUGAGGGUGAAAGCGGGGGAUCUUCGGACCUCGCGCUAUUGGAGCGGCCGAUGGCAGAUUAGCUAGUUGGUGGGGUAAAGGCCUACCAAGGCGACGAUCUGUAGCUGGUCUGAGAGGACGACCAGCCACACUGGGACUGAGACACGGCCCAGACUCCUACGGGAGGCAGCAGUGGGGAAUGUUGGACAAUGGGCGAAAGCCUGAUCCAGCAAUGCCGCGUGUGUGAUGAAGGCCUUCGGGUUGUAAAGCACUUUUGGCGGGAAAGAAAAGGACUGUGCCAAUACCACGGUUCGAUGACGGUACCCGCAGAAUAAGCACCGGCUAACUACGUG
rnacentral:rRNA from 1 species